rnacentral:rRNA from 1 species
GCAAGCGUUGUCCGGAUUUAUUGGGCGUAAAGGGCGUGUAGGCGGUUUGGUAGGUCCGCUGUGAAAACUCGAGGCUCAACCUCGAGACGCCGGUGGAAACCAUCAGACUAGAGUCCGGAAGAGGAGAGUGGAAUUCCUGGUGUAGCGGUGAAAUGCGUAGAGAUCGGGAAGAACAUCGGUGGCGAAGGCGGUCUGCUGGGCCGGUGCUGACGCUGAGGCGCGACAGCGUGGGGAGCAAACAGG